rnacentral:lncRNA from 1 species
AACGGUUUUUUCCAAAAAAAUAUUUAUAGGAACGGUUAUUGUUCCCUCCUUAAUUUUUUCGUGUAGCCCGCCAGAUCUAGUACUCUCUCUUUAAACCUUUUUAUCUUUUUAUUUAUUUUUAAUAUGUAAUAUGUAAUAUAUAUAGUUAAAAUCCACAAUUUUUAUUUAUUUUCUAAAUAAAAGUAGAUGUGGCCUAGCUCCAGUUACGUUUUUUUCCAAAUCUGAACCCUUUUCCCUUUUCCUUUAUCUCCAAUAAAGUUUUCCCCCAAUACUCUAAUCCCUCGUACCCAUUUCCCCCUUUUCAUUUUACUCUAGAUCCAGUCAUAUUUUCCCCAAAUCUGAACCCUUUUCACUUUUCCCUUAUCUCCCAUUACGUUUUCGGUUUUCCCCAAUUCACUCUAAUCCAUCAGACCCAUUUUCCCCUUUUAAUUUCUCUCUUUGAAAUCCCUCAAAUCCAGUAGUCUGGUGAGAGAUCUCCAGAAGAUCUGUGUCCGUUUGCUAAUGACAUUCAGACUAUUUGCGCAUCAUCGUCGUAUUCAACCCAUGAACUCAGAAGUCGGUGAUUUCUAUAGCAAACGCAAAAGGCACUCCGUAAAAAACUGAUUUUAGUUGUAAGUUUUUCUUUUUCAAUUUGGGUAUUUUCUUCUUUAAUCGUUCCUUUUUUCUAUAAUAUUUAGGGUGUGGUAGUGUAUUUAAUAUCUUGCUUUCUAUUGUUUUUUUGAACCCCAAUUGUUAAGGUUUUAUUUUCGUUAGGUGUGGCUACUGCGAGUUUAAAUUUUUAGAACUAAUAUUCCUAUAGAAAAUCUGCCAAAGAUGACUUUUCAAAAAGGUCAGUCUUUUAGUUAUGUUUGCUUUUGACAUCUUGAAUUUAUUGACACUCUUAUCUUAGUCUAUUUUUCUGUAAUUGCAUUCACUCUAUAUUUGGAUUUUUCUAGAAAUUGACUCUCAAUAUUAGUACAUGGAUUUAUGCUAUCAAUUGGCAUAAACUAUGUUUCAUAAGGUCUUUGAGUUGAAUUUUGAAGCCACUCUAAGAGGGUGUAAUCUAUGAAAAUAUCUUAUCGUUCAUUGCUGGUUUGUCGAGUUGGUAAACCUGUUCUAACUUUAGAGUGUCAACUCCUGAGUUUUCGAAUGCUCGAGAGCGUUGUGGCUUAUGAUAUGGCGCUAAAGUCUUAAGGUAAAUGCUUAAAAAUUAAACUAGGUGUACUAACUCACUCAAAUCCAAAAUUUAUUUCGUGAGAUGAGAAUUGCCCAAAAUCAUAUUUGAAAAUAAUUAUUCAUUCGCUCGAUCGUGCAGGAAGACUUGCAUGAAGCACAAAAUGAGGAUAAGAAUGAAAUUGUAAUCAUCAUGCGUCUACUUGUUCCUAACAAUUUGGUUGGAUGCCUUUUAGGAAGAAAAGGCGAUGUUAUUCAGAAAUUGCAAAGUGAGAUUGGGGCAAGCAUUCAUGUUCAAUCUGCUGAGCAUCUUCCAGUUUGUGCUAUGACCACUGAUGAACUGGUCCAAGUAAGUUUCAUGUUCUUUUCUAUGGGUGCACAACUUAUUUAGUUUGAAUUGACAUGCUUUUCUGGAGUUCACAUGUUUUGGCAAUCAGUAGGGUUUGCACCAGUAGUUAAAAUUAUGUUUGUGGAAUUGCUUGAUUACUGGCAUGAUUUCUUGAUUACUAUUAAGAUCACAUUUUAAAGUUUAAUAUUGCAAGAUCGAAUGGAAUUGAAUUUGAGGAGGUCCCAUCAGAACUCUACAGAAUCCGACUUUGUGCGACUUGGCCGUGUUGAGGUGUAUUUUUUUUUGGUAAUCCGCUAGGCAAGUGGCUAGGGCUAGUUUAUAUAUAUAUAUAUAAAGUCAUACAAAAUGAAAAAGGUAAAAAUUAACAGUUACAUAAGUCCUAUUACCAACAUUUGUGUUGUGAUAACCAAUACUGAUAUCACAAUGUGCUACUGUAUGAAAAGGAUAUAUAAAUAGAAUAGCAUGUUUAAUCACUAUGAUGCUACAUAUGUAGUAAUUUUGCUUAUUUGCACGCUACUGAUCGUCAUUUUGACCCUUUCUCUUGUACUUGUCAACACUUGUGUAUUUUAACUCUAGUGUUUGAGCUUGCAUCCUAUGUCGAUGGAUCUUGUUUUUUGAGGACAGUAUUGUUUCCAGCACUGUCCAGCACCAUAUUGCUGGCUGAGUUUUUGAUUUUCCUCUCAGCAUAUCUUCUCUGGAUAGGUGAUUGUCUUUUCUUUGGUAUCUGGCAUUCAUCUCUUUGUUUCCUAUUGGAACUUUUGCAUUUAUUCCAUAUUAUGAUUGCGUGUAAGCAUGCUGCAUCAUAACAAUAUCCCUUUGUGCUUUGUCUAUCCCUUAUUGUUUCAUUCUGUGAUGCAUCGAGGUAGCUGUUGUGGUGUGUUCAAAUCUGCUGCCUGUGUACCUAUAGUCGUAUGGUGUCCACUUGCUUACUGUUGUGUACUCUUGACCAUGUACUACAUGUGAUGUUGUGAAAGAUUGUUGCACUGAAAAUGUACUCCAGAAUUCAUCCAUUUUGCCCAUCAUUUUACGAGAAAACCACCGCUAGCUUUCUUUUAGGUUACUUGCAUUUUUUGGUCUAGUUAUGAAGUGAUUUUUUUGGGCUGGUAUAGGAUACUUAUGUCUAAAUAGCUACAAUAUUUUGUUAAAUAUAGGGAUUUUACGAUUAUAGAAUAAAGUUGAGGAAGAGAGGUAAUUUGCUUUAUUUAUUUGAAAGGUCUAAACUUUGUGUCUUGCUUGGUCUUUAUCAUGAGUUUGUCAAAAUAUACUUGGACUUUGCAAUAUUGGACUUUGUAUGUUCUAGUUUUUGGUACAAUAUUUAUUGAGUUUACAAUAGGAAAGGAUAAAUCUGGUGCUUUUUCCAAUUAUCAAAGGCAGUGGAGGGGACUCCAUUAACAUCCUAUUCUUGCUUUUGGUGUGGAUGGAACAUGUAAAUGAGGUUGAAAUUGUUCUUCAGGUGCUAGAAUUAUUACAAGAUUAGUUUUUUGGGGCUUAUCCUUUUACUUUUUCUGCCUCUGUUAAUUAUUUAAAGCUACAAUAGCACAUUCUUAGUUCUGGAUUUAUAACAUUACCUUACCUUUUCAAAAGAAAUGUUUAGUAUGAAGAGUAAAUGUUGCACGUACUUUAACAUUGUCAAUGUAUUGAAUUAGUAUGGUAAGUUGAUUGCACUACUUAUUAUUCACUGUUGGUUAUUAUUUGAUUGACUCAUUUGCAAAAAAAAAGUUAUUAUAAUUGUUAUUCCUGUGCGCAACAUCAUCAACAUAUACCAACUGAUCAGGUGCUGGUGCGUGUAUAAUGUCGUAAUCUUUUCCCAUAUUCCAUAUAUAUAAUACCAUCUGGUCAUGAGUCGAUGUAACCGUAUAAAUGCAUGAAAAUAUGUUAAUAAUCUCAAUAUUCCUUUCGGAUAAACUUUAUCAACUAUAUAUUACUUUGAAACUCAUGAACAGAAGAUAUAAUAACAUGUCACAUGGGGAAUCAAGAACACAGAGACCCUUAGUAUUUCUAUGAAUAUAGUCGUUUAUGAAAACUGUGUGUUUGCUCGUUUCUUCUUUAUAACUUGUAUCAUGCCGAAGAGAAAGAAGGGAUAGCCUUAACAUACCUGGAGUAGGGAUUUUGUAAGAAUUUAGUAAGAAAUCACAUCUAACUGUGAUAUGGUUUAUGGCCGUAUACAAGUCACAUUUUUCGGCCGCAAUCAACAACUUGGUUUCCAAUUGAUGCAAUUGGUAUAUCUCCAGUGAUGAUAUCUUGCUAAUACUGACAACUAGUAACGAUCCAAAGAUUAACAAGGUGUUUGAUUUGCAAUUUGCAGUAGAUUUGCUUGGGUCCAUGGUGGUCGAAAUGUUUAACCUACAAUCCGUGUUGUAGAUAAAUCCAUUAAAUUGGAAAGUCUUGGAAUUUGAGGUAGGUGUCUUGACAUAAAUUUAUUAGGUUGCCACCUAUUAAAAUGACUAAGGAGUCAUUUGCCUUAGGUUGUGGCCAGCUGUCAUGUUUUUGGAAGGGUGGGGUAGGAAGUAUUAAUCUUUAUCUACUUAUUAGGUAAUUAAGUAAUGUUUCGUUAUCCGGUAAUUAACCAAUUACCCGCAUAAUUAAGAAUUAUCUCAAAUUACCUAAAAAUACUACUCAUUUUUUAUAAACUUUAUACAUCAUACUAUCACGGUCAUAUGGUACCUUGUAUGAUACUAGUCCAUAAAUAUCGGGUAUUAUCGCUUGACCCGUAUUUUAUCACAAAUCGGCAACCUUCAAUGAAACUCGUUUUCUUUAAUUCGUGUACCCUUUAUUCUUCAUGACACUUACUUAUCGCUUGUUAUAAAUAGCAUAAAUACGUUAACCUCAAGAUAAUCUCAUCCCUGAGUUUACGUCAAUUAACUGAAGACGAAACUUUUAACGUAUGAAAAUGUGAGAUGUAACAAUAAUAAAGCGGAAGUAGAUUUAGGAACCAUGAUAAAAUUGUAACGACUCGACUGGUUGUUUCAUGAGUUACCGCUCCGUUUUCCCUAUUUUUGCUUCUUAUUGCCUUGUUCAUCUGUAUUUUGUGUUAUCAGGUUGGUUGGCUCGGGUUCAGAGAGGUUUUGGUAAGGUUUGAGACACUUAGUCUCUUUUGAAGAAACUUAAAUUGAAAAAGUCAAGCAGAUGUUGACUUAUGUGUUAAAGAGCUCGGAUGUGAGUUCUGAUGGUUCGGAUAGCUUUGGGAUGUGAUUUGAGACUUAGGAGUGUGAUCGGAAUGUGUUUUGGAGGUACGGAGUAGAUUUAGGCUUGAAUUGAUGAAAUUGGAAUUUUGGCGUUUUCCGGUUGAUAGGUGAGAUUUUGAUAUAGGAGUCGGAAUAGAAUUUCGGAAGUUGUAGUAGGUCUGUCGUGUCAUUUGGGAUGUGUGUGCAAAAUUUCAGGUCAUUCGGACGUCGUUUGGUAGACUUUUUGAUCAAAAGCGUAAUUCAGAAGAUUUUGAGAACCUUAGGCUUGAAUCCGAUAUGUUUGGUUGAUUCGAUGUUAUUUGAGGUAUUUUGAAGAUUGGUAUAAGUUUGGAUAGUGGUAUAUGACUUAGUUUUGCUUUUGGUUGAGGUCCCGGGGGCCUCGGGGUGAUUUCAGAUGGUUAGCGGAAAGUUUGGAAGUUGGAUGUAGCAGUUGAGGCUAAGUUUGUUGUUAUAAUCGCACAUGUAGCUAGGGGACCGCAGGUGCGGGCUCGCAGAAGCGUAGAGGGAGCUGCAGAUGCGGCCAAGAGGAGGAUCAGCUGGAACUGCAGAAGCAGUAAGGGGAGCGUACUUGCGUUAGCACAGGUGCGGGCGGUGCAUCGCAGAUGCGGAUAUUGGCCCAUAAGUGAAAACCACAGAUGCGGUGUCUUGGACCGCAGAAGUGGUACCACAGAUGAGGUGGAUGGACUACAGGUGCGAAAAGACUGGGCCAGAAGGUAUAAAAGAGUUCCUUCUUGAUUUUUGAGAUGUUCUUCACCAUUUCAAGUGGGUUUUGGAGCUUUUUGGAAGAUUUUGAAGAGGGAUUGAAGGAAUAACGUCUGGAGGUAAGAUUUUUGAACCUAAUAAUCAAUCCUAAGGCAUUAUUUCACUAAUUUGGCCUAAGAUUAAUGGAAAUUAAGGGUUAAAAAUUAGGGAUUAGGGCUUGGUAUUGGAGACCUUGGCUUGAGGAUUUGAGGGGUCAUUUGUGGUCAGAUUUUGGAAUUUUUGAUAUGUAUGAACUCGUGGGGAGAUAAGGAAUCUAUUAAUGUAAAUUUUAUCGAAUUCCGAGACGUGGGCCUAAGUAUCGAGUUUUGGUUAGUUUCGGGAUUUAUGUUGUAAAUUCAUUACUUUCGCAUGGGCUUCGUUCCCUUAGCAUAUUUUGACGUCGUGAUUCUGAUUUUGGAUAGAUUCGAUGCAAGUUGGGGCCGAUUCGAGGGGCAAAGGCGUGUCGGGCUUGAGUUUGGAUCGGAUUAAGGUGAGUAAUGAUUGUAAAUAUUAUCUUGAGGGUAUGAAAUCCUGGAUUUCACAUCGUUUUGCUAUAUUAAGGUGACGCACACGCUAAAUGACGAGCGUGGGGUCGUGCACCGUUGGGAAUUGUGACUUAGUCCGUCCCGAAUGAUUGUUUUACCGCGUAUUUGAUUGAAAACUGUUUGCUAUCAUCAUGUUUUUGGCUGAAUACCAUAUUUGGGCCUCGUGCCAACUAUUUUGGACCUUAAAGGGUGUUUACUACUAUUCCUCACAGUUUUGAUUUUAGACUUGUACUCAGUCAUGCUAUAUUCUACUGUUUUCAUAACUCAGCCAUGCUUACUCUAUUUUAACACAUUAAAUGAUAUUUUAAAUGAUACUUUGGGCUGAGCAUUAUGUUUUACUGUUGCCCGAGUGACUUAUAAGAUUCUGACUGAGUAAGGCCGAGGGCCUAUGUUGUGAGGAUACUUUUGGGUUGGGCUGCACGUCGCAGUAGUGAUACACUGAUUUAUGAUUUUGAGGCCGAGGGCCGGAGAUUGUACGCCACAAGGUGGCUUGAUAUGAGGUUGAUAGCCUAUUGAUUAUGCCACGAGAUGGCUUGAUGUUGCGCUUGGGCCAUAAGGGGCCCCUCCCAGAGUCUGUACACCCCCAGUGAGUGCGGGUACCCAUUGUGAUAUGAGAUAUAGCUCGAGGGGUUGGUAUUGUCCCAUAUUAUUGCCCGAUGGGCUAAUUCUGUUGACAUUGGGCCCAAAAGGCGGAUUUUAUGUGUUUGUCUCUUCUAGCUACCUUUCAUUUACUUGUUUAACUGUUAAAAAGGUGUUUUAAAGAAGCUUAUACUGAACUAAGAUGUUUUUAUAAGAUUUCACUAUUUUAUUGCACUUUAUUGGUUUUACCCUGCCUCUUUAUAGCAUGUUAUUGUGUUUUUACGUGAUUUCUUAUCGCUCAGUCUUCAUUUAUUGUUAUUACUCACUGAGUUGGAGUAAUCACUUUACUCCUUGCACCCUGUGUGCAGAUUCAGGAGCUUCAGGUCCCGCCAGUGAGGGUUGAUUGCUCCCAGCAGGCCAUUCGGAGUCCACUAGGUAGUUGUCUGGCAUUCGCAGCCCAGUAUUUCUCCCUCCUAUCUUAUUUUCUUUUUCUAGUGAUUGUAUAAACUCUCUUUCAAACUCUUAGACUUAUGUUAGAUGCUCAUGACUGGUGACAUCCCGAUGUCAGACUGUGUUGGUUUCUGCAAAUUGUAUUUUCACUUUUAUUUUGGGAUUAUUAUCAUGUUAAAAACUUAAAUUGUGUUAUUUUGAUUGCUUAAAAUGAAUUGAGUAUUGUGUCGGCUGGCCUUGUCUUCACGAGAGGCGCCAUCACGACCGAGUCUGGGUUUAGGGCCGUGAUAAAAAUUGUUGUUAUCCUUACCAUGUCAUGAAAUAUGAACAAAAUAUAAUGCAGAAUGAUAUAAUAGCAAAUACGACCAUGAACAACUGCUAAAAUUCCCAAAAUCCGAUGUCACAAGUACAUGAGCAUCUAAUAGAAUAUAAACUACUACAACUAUUGUCUGGAAUGAAAAUAAACAGAAUAAAAUAAAAUGAUAUAAUAGCAAAUACGACCAUGAACAACUGCUAAAAUUCCCAAAAUCCGAUGUCACAAGUACAUGAGCAUCUAAUAGAAUAUAAACUACUACAACUAUUGUCUGGAAUGAAAAUAAACCGAAUAAAAUAAAUAUUGGGGGAAGGAGACUCUGGGUUUUGUGGAUCGAAGCACGGAAAACAGCUCACCACCAAGUCUCCGGCUAAUGCUAUUGUGCGCCUAAGUGACUACCCGGUGUACCUAUCACACUACCUGCACAAUUUUAGUGCAAACGUAUAGUAUGAAUACGUAAAUCAAUGCGCACCUAAUAAGUAUCUUGUUGACGCUAAGAAGUAGUGGCGAGGGGUCUAAAAUCGACACUUACUAGUAGUUCAAUGAAUGAUGUACAUAAAAGAAGACAAACAUGUAUCAUAGUAAGUAGCAACAUAAAUCAGAAAAUAUGAAUAUCAUGAUUAUCAAUAGAAGAAUAACUACCGAAUCGUACACUAUAAAAUCUCAAGUCAGGAAAACUCAUAUGUGCUCUAACACCCUAUUCAAUAUUAUGCAUGAUUAUGUCGAGACAAAUGACCUGAUCUCAUAAGAAUAGUGUCACAUAAUACCGUCGAGGUCGUAUGACCCGAUCUAUAGAUGCAUCUUGUGGUACUGCCAAGGCUAACGACCCGCUCCCAUAAAGAUAUUUCAUAAUACUGUCGAGGCGAACGGUCCGAUCACGUAAGAAUAGAGAAUCUUUCAUCAGGUCACUAUCUCACUCGCAAAGAUACAUGCGAUUCAAGAAAUUACUAUAACUACUGCUCACUUAAGCACAAUACAAAAAUAUGAAUGUAAGAGAAAGCCUUAUCCCAUCGAAAAUCAAAUAUCCAGCAAAAACGUAAAAUAACAAGGCUCGGUCAACUACGUAAAUUCUAGUUUUAUGCUCAGUUAUGAAUUCAAGUAAUCAACAGACAAGAUUAAUUCAAGUAGUAUAGUUAAGGCGUGAUGUAAGUCUACUUCUACCCGAACAUAACCAAGAAUUUUGCUAUGCACGGACACUCGUCACUUCGUUCAUACAUAGUAUCCAUAGCAUGUACCGCGUAACAAAUGUACUAUCUACGAGAAUAAUUUCUAUAUUACAAAAUUAGGCAAGAGACUGACCUUGCUCCCAAAUCUAUAUCCUUGGCUCCAACACUCUACUAAUACCCCAAGUCGAUGGUGAGCAACUCAAAACCAACCAGAGGAAUGUGCAAAUCAAUCAAUAUAUACUCAAGAAUUAAAAAUUUAACUAUUAGAAUCAAUUCAUAACCCCACUCCAAAAGUCAAGAAAAGUCAACUUCGGCCCCACGCGAUCGGAUUUCGAAAUUUCUUGAAGAUAAAUAUUACCCGUAGCAUCACGAACUCAAAUAUUUAAUUGAUUUUAUAUUUCAAGCUCAAUUCAUGUUCAAAUCUCAUUUUUGCCGUUCUAGUUUUUUCAACCAAAACCCUAUAAUUUUUACUAAUUUUCAUGUUAAAAACCUUACAUAAUUCAUAUAUUUAGCUCACAAUAAGUAAAAAUCACUUACCCAAUGCUACUUGAUGAAAAUGACCCUUCAAAAAGCUCUCAAAUCGCCCAAGCCAAGAGAAAAUAUGAUGUAAUAAGCUAAGUCCCAAAGUUAAAUCAUAUAUUUUGCCCAAACAUCCUUCAUCGCGUUUAUGGUAGAAGACGCGUGAUCGCGAAAGCCAACACUUUCCCUGCCCAGACCUUCCUCUUUACAUUCGCGAGCUCACAAUCAGUUUCGCAAAGGCCACUAGCCCCCAACCCUCUGCAUUCGUGGUCUCCUGUGCCGUGUUUGUGAAGACCAAACAUGCCAGAUGCUUCCCUUCCUUAUCCUUCUUCAUGCUCGCGUAGGCUGAUAAGUUGGUAUUUUACCAACUUAUCUUGUCUUUAAGUGUAGAUUUUUACUAUGUUUGAGUGAAAAAAUUGUGUGUUUAAUGUCAUUUACUUCUAUUCUAUAGAUUCUCUGUGAUUUAGAAACGAUCAUGAGGAAACCAAGUGAAAACGAGCCAAAAAGACGUUGAAAAGAUGAAAUUUGUAAAAUGGCCUCAGAUGCCGCUAUUGUGACAUCAAUGUGGCAAAUGUGAAGACACUAAAGGUCGUAAUUGCAUGGGAAGAAUCACAAAUGCGAAGUCAAACCAGACAGUCAACCUUCACAAAUGUGAAGAUCUCCAUCGCAAAUGCAAAACCAAGUGCACAAUGUCAAGUUCGCAAUUGCAAACAUAAGGAUCGCAAAUGCUAUGUGCAACAGUAACCCCUGGGUUCACAAUUGCAAAUAUCGUGCUUUAGUUCUUGGCACUUUUGUCAUUUCACAUUUUCUUCAUCCCAAACUCUUUAAUACACGACCUAGCUUAUUAGAAACAUAUCGUUGGCUUAUUUUUCAGUCUUUGGACUAGAGAAGAUAAGUUUUGGAGCUAGGAUUCUUGCACACACACUUGUGUCUUAAAGAUUUGAAGCUUUUGAUUGAGAAUUUCUUAGCCAUUUAUGUUCAUUUCUUCAUUUUCUUGAUUUCUAUCGUAUAUCUAAGUGUGUAAUAUUUUUUCCAACACUUGAAUCUAAUUUAUGGGAAUAUUCAUAUUUUAAGUGUCGAUUAAAUAUCUUGUUGUACUUAUGUAUUGAAUGAUUUAUAUUUAUUGUGAAGUGAGUUAUUUUUUUUUAUUCUUGUUUUUUGAUGUUUCCAAAGGGAUUAGCUAACCCUAAGACUUGCCCAUUUACUUCGAAUUAAUUUUGGGAAAGAUAAUUUGGGAUUGGGAAAGAUUAAUUAACAAGAACUUGAGGCUUUAACCCUCAUUUUAAAGAUUCUAUCUAGAGACAGGAUUGAACUACUUAUAACCAUAUUCGGGUGUGAUUAAUCUCUUAAUUAUUUUAGGGAUAAUUCAAUUAGGAAGUCUUGUUAGUCUUUGCAAGAAGCUAAUACAAAAUUAUUACCCAAGGCUAACUAACGUAGACUCACUCAUAUUUCUAAAAUUGUAAAAUACAUUGGAUCGUUACUUGAGUGCAAUUCAUCGUGUAUCCAUACUUUUAGCCAUUGAUCAUUUUACUUGCUUUUUAGGCUUGUUUACAUUUUCUCAUUUAGUCAUAAAUAUUUUCAAAAACCAUUCUAAGUGUUUGGCUUAGCAUAAUAAGUGGUAAUUCUCUUACAUGCCUAAUCACCUACAUAUUGUUUCUCUGUGGGAUUUGACCCCGACUCAUAGUUGGGUAAAUUAUAUUGCAUGUGAUUGUGUCCAUUUACUUUUUAGUAGUGUAUUUGGACGUCAUCAAAAUUGGCGCCAUUUUCGGGUAACAAUUUGGCGUAUUUAGGUUAUUUGAGAAGUAAGCGUAAGUGCUUUUGUCCAAACUUGUGAAUAUUUGUGUAAUUAUUUUCUUAUAUUUGCUUAUCUUAUUAUUUGUUUUUUUGUUUAUUUUCUUAGCUUUGAAAAAUGGCAUCACAUAAUAAAAAUUGAUCGGAUGGUAGUUGUUCAUACUUUGAUGACCCUUGUCCUUAUUUUGGAGGACCACACUCUUGGCAAAAUUAUUUAAGUUCUCCCGGGGGUGGAUUUUGCGCACAAUCUCAAACCAAAAUGGACAUUGGGAUAAUUGGGAUUAUUUGUCCUUCCCUUCCCUAAACCUCCACUAUGAUGAUUCUACUUUUUAUGAUAAUUAAAGUGGAAGAAAUUGAGCAUGGUCAAAAUGGAGAGUUCAAGCUCAUGUUAGAAUGCCUACUUGAAGGAGGAAACAAAGAGCAAAAGUCCUUGGAGGAGCUUUUGGAAAAUAGUCUCCAAAAUGAUUUGGCGCUUGAAAGGUUGAACUUACAAAUGAGAGAAAUGCUUGAAGCUUUAGAUAUCCAAAAAGCCCCGGAAGUGAAUGAUAGCCAUGAACAAUCCUUAUAGGAUUAAGCCGAAAAUCCUCCUUUGACACAUGAUCAAAAUCAAGAAGAACUUUCAAAUGCUCAACAUGAGAAAAUGAUGCUCAUGUUGGAGGCCAUUCUUGAAAAAAUGAGGAAAAGCAAAGCUUGGCACUCAAGAACUUAAACAAGCACUACAUCGAAAUGAUAAGACUAUCCGCACUUUGGAAGAUUAAAUGAAAUAAUUGAUUUAGGCUCAUUAUGUCUGUCAAUUUGAAAGCGUGGAAAGAGGUCAAGAAGAGUCCAACUUCGAGGAAGAAAGUGAGCUUUAUUUUGAGGAAUCAAGAAUUGAACAUCCGCCAAUCGACUCCAUGUUUCUUAGUGAUGCCAAGAAAAAUGUAGAAUAAGAGCAUAAUUGGCAAUUUGAUCUGCCAAUUGGUUGCCUUCUCUUAGUGUAUGUGGGACUUUCAAAGGACAUCUCCCCAUCAACUCCUUUAUUUCAUCAAUAUGCACUGCCACAGACCAUGGUGUACUCCAUUCCCCUUGAAUAACAUUCUUGACAAGAAUAGGAUCAGUUUGCAAAUAAACUAGAAUAUAGUCAUGCUUCACACAAUAUUUUAGUGCUUCUAGGAUACCUCUCACCUCAGCUUCUGUAUUUGUUCCUUUUGGUAUUUCCUUGCCACAUGCAUACACAACAUUGCCUUCUUCAUUUCUCAGCACAUAGCAUAAAAAACUCUUACCCGGGUUACCCCUCGAUGCCCUAUCUGUGUUAACUUUUAUCCAACCAUGUUUAGGAAAUUCCCAUAGCACCUUAGUGUAUUUCAAUUUUGGAGUAUAUUGUUCCAGCAUAUGGAUCAAAUCUGGCCACUUAUGUGGAACAUGUUGUAAGCUUGGAUUCCUGGCUUUAACAGGAUACUGGAGUGUAGUAGAUACCUCGUAAAUGACCCUAUUGACUGAAACUACAUCCCUAUAUUUAUAUCAGUUUCUCCUUUUCCAUAAUUCCCAAACUAUGAUUGAUGGUUAUGCCUGGACAAUUAGUUGUAAUCUUGGAAUUACCUGUGCAGUCCAGCAUUUCACCACAACUUGAUGAAAGGUCAAACCAUCAAGUUUAAUUCUUGCACAUGACAAGAAAUUGUAACGACCCGGCCGAUCAUUUUGAGAAUUUAAGUUCCGGCCAGUGGCAUAAGGUCUUGAGAAGCUUCAUAUUAUGUGUAUAGAAUUAUGUGUAUGGUUGAAUUCAUUUACCGGAGGAUUCAGAAUAGAAUUGGAAGAAGGAUUCUAGUUUUGGAAGCUUAAGCGGUGAGAAUUUGACCAGAAUGGGUUUUAGAUGACCUCAACAGGUUUGUAUGGUUAUUUUGGACUUAGGCAAGUGUCCGGAUUCAGAUUUUGAGGUCCGUAGGGUAAUUUGAGGCAUUUCGGCGAAAGUUGGAAAAGUUGAAGUUUAGAAAAUGGAGAAGUUUGACCCAUAGUUGACAUUCAUGAUAUCCAGCUCAGAAUGCGAUUCAAGAGUUGGAACAACUCCGUCUUGUCAUUUGGGACUUGUCUGCAAAAUUUGGCGUCAUUCCGGGUUGGUUUGAUUGGUUUCGACAUGAGUUUUCAAGGUUGGAACAUUUGGAAGUUUAUAGUUCGAUUCAUGGUGCGAUUUGCAUUUUCGGCAUUGUUUGAUAUAUUUUGAGACCUCGAGGUAGUUUGUAUUAGGUUAUAGAACUUGUUUGUGUAUGUAGACGGGGUCCCGAGGGCCUCAAGUGUGUUUCGCACGAGUUUCAGAUAUUUUGCAUGGUUUUGGAGCAUCUCUGAUUUCUGGUGUUUCCCGCUUUUAGGGGGAUCUACUAGAAUACCGCUCCAAGGUCGCAGGUGCGGCUCCGCUUUUGUGUUAGCCCGGCCGCUUCUACGAUCAUGAGGGCCUGGGAGCUUGCUCGCUUCUGCGGAGGCUGGCACGCAGGUUCGAUGGCCGCUUCUACGGUCCAACGAUCGCACCCGCAGAGAAAUCUCACUCCUGCGAUUUCCGUUUUGCAUCUGCGGUGCCGUUGAUGCGGCUGUAUAUCCGCAGAUGCAGUCCCUGGCCUGGUUAGCUGAGUUCAUAGAUGCGGACCCUUUCUUCAAAAUGCGGUCCCGCAGAUGCGCUUUCUUGUCCGCAGAUGCGGAAGUUCUGGCAAAAUCAUUUAAAUCGAGGGUUUGGUCAUUUUCUUCAUAUCUUGAGUUUUGGACUUUGAUUUUGAGAGCUUCUUUCUAGGUUUUUCAAACAAAUCGAUUGGGUAAGUGUUCCUCACCUAGUAUCUAAUAUAUUCCAUGAUUUUAUCUUCAUUUCUAUCAUUUGAUUUGUGUUUUGAGUUGAGAAAAGGGUGGAUUUUUUAAGAAUGUUUUCAAAAUGAAAAAUCAAGAUUUGCGGGACUAAAUGGUAUUGGAAUUUGAUAAAUUUUGUAUGGUUGAGCUCGUAUCAGAAUGGGUAUUCGGUUUUUGUAAAAUUUGUCGGGUUCCAUGGUGCUGGCCCGAGGGUCGACUUUUGGAUCGAUUUUUGGAUUUUGUUAAAGAUUGAGACUUUAUGGUCCGUAAUAGUUUCUUAUGAGUUUUAUUUGUGCUUUAAAGUAAAUUUGGUUAGAUUUGAGCCGUCCGGAGGUCUUUUCACUCACGAAGUGCAUUUUAGAGUAUUAGUUUGUCAUGUUUGAGGUAAGUAUCUUUCCUAACCUUUUGUGAGGGAACUUCCCCCUAGGAUUUGAGUCUUCUAUGUAAUUGUAGUCCGUGUACGCGAGGUGAUGAGUGCGUGCUCGGAGUUAUAUGUGGAAGUUGGACUUUAGGGUUCUUAGGUCCUUAUAUUCACUGUGUAGGAAGUAAUUCUUGAUAUGACUGAGUUCCUGUCUGCUAGUUUCACAUCUACAUGUUUAAAUUAGAAUUUAUUUCUUUAGUAUUCACUCUUAUUGCCUAUUUGACUUAACUGAAGAUUUUGCCUCUUCUAUCGUCAUACUAUCUUUUCAUAACUGCUUAUCUUUAAUUGAAAUUGUUAUUGGCUUAUCCUAUAAUUGUUUAGUCUUAAUUGGAGUGAUGAUUACCUGUUGCUGCUUACCAUUAUUUGAAUUGUUGAAUAUCUUUCGCAAUUGUUCAACCUUAAAAGGAGUUUAUAUAAUCUAUAUCUUAGUUGACUCGCCUUUAUUUGGAACUAUUUAACUCGGAUUGACUUCCUUAUUGUUGACUUGUAUAGUGUGGAGUCGUCGCUACUUGUUAGUCUUUUUCCUUAUUGAAUUUUUCCCUUUAUGCCUUGCAUUCUUUACUGUGGUUAUUCCUUGUGAAGUGGUUCUACCGUUUCUUUGUGAUUUAAAGUCCUUGAGUUGAUUUACUCGUCAUACCAUAUAUUAUUGUCAUUUUUGCUGUUGUACUUGUUGUGGUGACGUACGAGGAUUCUGCCGUGCUGUAACUGUUAUUUCUGUUGGUUUCGCUAGAUAUUUACUUUGGGACUACGGGACGGUAUCCCUGUAGAUCCCCAUGUUCUGCAUAUUUACUUUGGAACUAUGGAGCGGUAUACCGAGAGAUCCCCCUGUACAUUUACGUUUGGGACUACGGGACGGUGUCCCGGUAGAUCCCCCUGUUCUAUAUAUUUACUUUGGGACUACGGAAUGAUAUUCCGGUCCAGCACAUUUACAUUUGGUACUACGGGAUGAUAUCUUGGGAGAUCCCUUGUUAUUAUCAUUGUGUUUUGAGCUGUGUUUUUCAUUGAUCCUAUCCCUGUGUAAAUAUUCUACAUGUUGUCUGUUCUUUUCCUUAAGCUUACUAGUUGGUAUGAACUAUGUUAGGAUACUUGCACAAGCAUACACGUGGCUAAGCACCCUUAUCGGAUAAGAGGUUUCCUUGAUAUUGUUGAGUAUAGAUGCAAACCCUUGUUUAUUCGCCUUUCAUGUGAGAAUGGCUCUAUUUGGCACGUGAAUUGUCAGUAUGAUUAUGAGGUGUGAUGAGGGCAUAGGUUGCCAAGUGUUAGGGUUAGGUAUUGAGACCCGUAUUGUAUGAUUAGGAGUUGAGGUGUCAUAGGGUGACUUAUCUUCGAAAGAUAUUUAUUUGAAAAGAUUAUAUUCGAAAGGUAUUUAUUUUGAAAGAACUAUUUUUGAAAAUAUUUAUUUGGAGGAAGUAUAUUUCAAAUUAUUCCAUCACUUGAAGGAUUUGACUAAUUAAUUGAAGUUUGUUGGCUAAGACCUAAUGUGAAAACCGCCGUAGUUGCUAAGUUAUGACUUGUCUUUACUGCAUUUGUGAUUUCGAAUUUGGGUUGUAUUUCCGUUCUCUUUUAUGUGUUCUUAUUAUAGUGUUCCGGUGUUACUUGCUGUUUUCUUUCCUUAUUGAAAUUGCAGUAUUGUUAGCCACACUGCAUAGUCUUUAUAUAGAUAUCAGGUUUUAUUGUUUCUAUCAUUAUACUUGUUCAGCAUAUUAUACCAGCAGGUGUCUUGACUGUUCCUCGUCACUACUCCACCGAAGUUAGUCUUGAUACUUACUGGGCACUGUUGUGGUGUGCUCAUACUACACUUUUGUGCAUUUUUGUGUAGAUCCAGGUAUUGUUCGUUAGUAGCUGUGCGGGUUCUUGCCGAG